rnacentral:rRNA from 1 species
UACGUAGGGGGCUAGCGUUGUCCGGAAUCAUUGGGCGUAAAGCGCGUGUAGGCGGCCCGGUUAAGUCCGCUGUGAAAGCGCGGGGCUCGAACCCUGCGUCGGCCAUGAAUACUGCCGCGGCUGGAGCACUGUAGAGGCAGGCGGAAUUCCGGGUGUAGCGGUGGAAUGCGUAGAGGAUCCGGAAGACACCGGUGGCGAAGGCAAGCUCGCUGGGACGGUAGUGACGCUGAGGCGCGAA